GUGCUCACUUUGGUAGCACAUAUACUAAAAUUGGAGUGAUACAGAGAAGAUUAGCAUGGGCCCUGAGCAAGUAUGACACACAAAUUCUCAAAGCAUUCCACAUUUUU
ensembl:snRNA U6 U6 spliceosomal RNA